ACAGGAUUAGAUACCCUGGUAGUCCAUGCCGUAAACGGUGGGCGCUAGGUGUGAGGGUCUUUUCACGACUUUCGUGCGUAGCUAACGCAUUAAGCGCCCCGCCGUGGGGAGGUACGGCCGCAAGGACGUAAAACUCAAAGGAAUUAGACGGGGCCGCACAAGGCGGCGGAGCAUGUGGAUUAAAUUCGACUGCAACGCGGAAGAACCUUACCUGGGCUUGACAUACACCGGAUCGGGCUAGAGAUAGUCUUUCCCUUUGUGGCUGGUGUACAGGUGGUGCGAAUCCAGUGGAAACACAGGAGUGC
rnacentral:rRNA from 1 species